rnacentral:rRNA from 1 species
AGAGUUUGAUCCUGGCUCAGGACGAACGCUGGCGGCGUGCCUAAUACAUGCAAGUCGAGCGGACCCUUCGGGGUUAGCGGCGGACGGGUGAGUAACACGUAGGCAACCUGCCUGUAAGACCGGGAUAACUACCGGAAACGGUAGCUAAGACCGGAUAAUCCUUUUCCUCACAUGAGGGAGAGCUGAAAGACGGUUUCGGC